AGGUCAUUUUAAAGAGAGCUUAUGGGACCAAAACCAGGAACUCUUAAUGCUGUGACCUAAGAUUGAAGUUCUCCAUAAGAUGUAAUAGACAAUAGUGCUGUGUUUUCCUAAGAAGAUAUACAA